rnacentral:rRNA from 1 species
UACAUGUGGGGCAAGCGUUGUUCGGAAUUACUGGGCAUAAAGGGUGCGUAGGCGGCUUGUUAAGUCAGGGGUGAAAGUUUUCGGCCCAACCGGAAAAUUGCCUUUGAUACUGGCGAGCUCGAGUGCGUGAGGGGUAACCGGAACGAGCAGUGUAGCGGUGAAAUGCGUAGAUAUUGCUCGGAAGGCCAACGGCGAAGGCAGGUUACUGGUACGCAACUGACGCUGAGGCACGAAAGCAUGGGUAGCGAAAGGG